CAGCGUCUGUUUUGUAUAUAGGGAUUAAAGAGGAUAACUUUAUUUUUUCCUUUGGAAAGAAUAAUUCUUUUGGAAUUUUGGAAUUUUGAUUUUCUUAGAUGACUUUUUAGCAAUUUAAUGAUAAUAAUUUCUAUUUUUCUUCCAAAACUAUGGCAUGUUAUAGUAGAUCUUACUAUUAAAGAUCUUUUAUAUUUUAAACUGUUUUUUUCCUAUUCUGCUUUUUGCUGCUCUCAAAGACUGUGAUUGAUGAACAUCACCAAACUUUUUUUGUGGCAAACUGCUUAUUUUAUAAGUAGCUUUAUAUAAGAAAACUUCUUAGAAAACUAUGUGGCUGGUUGGUUCCAUUUAGAAACUCUUAACAGGUAUGGCUUUCAUUCCUCCAGUUGUUUGCUUUUAUAGACUUGGAGCAAAAAAUAUAGCAAAAAGUAAUCAUAUCUGGCUAGAUAGCCAUUUCUCUCAGAUUCAUUGCUAUAAAAAUGAAUCUACUGAGGCAUAAAAAUAUGAAACAUAUUUAAUUCAUCUCUUUUGUCAGUUUUUCUGGGACUCCAAUAGCAUUUCAGUGUUAUAGAGAGUGACAGUGACUUGAAUGCAUGUAUAUGCACAUAGUCAAUUCAGAGCGUAAUAACUAAAAAUUCAGAAUGACUUGUUUUUUGAAAGUACUUGGAAAUUGUGCUGCUACUUAAAUAUUGAAGGAAUUCAGAAAGUUGUGUAUUUAUCUUAAAAUGUUCCUUCUCACUUAUUCUACUGGAAUUGACCAUGAAAAAGAAAAUAUUAUGCCUUAUUUAUAUCUAAUUAUUGACUGUGCAAACUGUGACUCAGUGGAUAUUUGUAUGCCCCCCAAAAACAUUUUAAAGCUGAGCAAUUUUUAAUAAAGAUGUAUAAAUAAUUUUGAUUAUUCUCAUUGUAGUUAAGUUACUGUUAGUUUGGUGCAAUACAUUCUUUCCUUCCUCAUCCUUUUAAAAUUAAAUAUAUAAGAUGUAUGUUUUGUUUUAUUACAUUAAGUGCUAUUUUUAAAAAAUUCAUUGUGUGUAUAUGAGCUAAUACUUGAUUUGUUUCUGUAUAGCAUGAUUAAAGAUAAUUGAAAAUUUUGCACUUAUUUUAGGCCCU
rnacentral:lncRNA from 1 species